AAAAGAAAACAAAACAAAGAGAAAGCAGGAUAAGUCUCUGUUUCACUGGGGUAAGGAGGCCAACAGCAGCCAUCUGCUCAGCUGUGGCAAGCAGCCUUCUUGCGAGUUCCAGACUAGAGGCCAAAGCCAGACGUGGAGCCCAUGUACAGCUGUGUCUGCAUUUGAAGGGGUUGCACUGUUAUUAGGAGGAAAGAUCCCACAGCUCUUUACCACCUAAAUAGAAGCACAGGAAUGACUUGGCUCACUCAAAAAUGGACCUGCCUCUGGGAUGGAAAGAGCUACCUUGUGCCAGCUCCAAAAUGCAACCCUUCCCAAUACUCAGCUCAGGAAGGGCAGAAAAAUCCUGUGUCCAAUGGAAAACUGAAAGUGGAAAUUUAAGUCACCAGAGUUAUUGCUCAAGGGUAGCAAGAGUACACAAUGCUUUAGCUGUGCACAAAAUAAAGGAUCUGACUGAUGAAGUCUAUAAUC